GGAAGCCAAUACAAUAGAGAUUUAAUUUUUCAUCACCUCUUCCAAAUUGCAACCGUCAGCGUAGUUAUUAAUUGGAUUAAUACUCCGACCCAUCACUUCCAUAACUCCCAUAAUUACAGCCAUAUAACCCUGAUUGAAUUCAACAUUUACUUCACCGACCCCUAAUUCCUAAUUGCUAUUUGAAAACCAAGAAUCUUGAAGUGAAAACAAUGGCCGAUGAAAACACAGCGACACCAAGGAGAGACCCAUCAAUAAUCCAGCAGCUUGUUUGUUGAACAAGAUUCUGAAGGACAAUGUGGUUCAGAAUGCAAAACCAUUGAACGAGCUUGUCAAGAGGUGGAGCGUUUGGAGGGAACCAAGGUGCACGACCAGGUGCCUUUUCGUCGUUAUAUGUUUGCGAUGUAAGAUCAAGGGUGCUGGCAGGUGUGGCUUUGGGUUAGAAUCCGCAAUGGCGUUACUUGCUGGAAAACGAAUGGCGAAAACCGGGAUCUUUCUUGAUUCGUAUCUUUUAUAUUACAACUUGCGCUUCGUAUGUUUAAUGUAAACUAAAAACCCCUCUAGAUUUUUUUUGGGUGCCAGAAUGUAUAUAGAAUGAAACAUACAUCAAUUAACUA